rnacentral:lncRNA from 1 species
ACUCUGCUGCCUCUACCUGCUGACAACUCACAUCAAUGCCUGGGUGUAUGGAUCUUGCUGGAAAAUCAAAAUGUAACUGGCAAAGAGAAAUGCAGAGGUUCAAUAUUGUGCAAGGUAGGAGGAAGGCAGGUAGGAGACUUGCUGAUAAGAUAAAUGUUGAAUGAAUAACAGUAGAUAAUCUGCCAAUUGUUGGGCUGAUGGUAAAAAGUAUGAAGGAAGUUUUCUUAGACUGACUCAUCAACCUGGAAUUGAAGCAAGUGCAUGGUGGGGAGAUGCUGGCUUUCAUGGGAG